rnacentral:rRNA from 1 species
UGAAUACGAGACGCUACGGCGUCGAAGCAGUCGAUGUCAUACUUCCAAGAAAAGCUUGCAAUGUCAUAAACAAAUAAUGCCUGUACCAUAACCGACACAGGUGGGUAGGUAGAGUAUACUAAGGGGCGCGAGAUAACUCUCUCUAAGGAACUCGGCAAAAUGACUCCGUAACUUCGGGAGAAGGAGUGCCUUAUUUAUAAGGUUGCAAUAACAAGAUCCAAGCAACUGUUUAUCAAAAACACAGGUCUCCGCUAAGUCGUAAGACGAUGUAUGGGGGCUGACGCCUGCCCAGUGCCAGAAGGUUAAAGAAGUUGGUUAGCAUCCGCGAAGCUGAUAACUGAAGCCCUGGUGAACGGCGGCCGUAACAAUAACGGUCCUAAGGUAGCGAAAUUCCUUGUCGGGUAAGUUCCGACCCGCACGAAAGGCGUAAUGAUUUGGAUACUGUCUCGGAGAGGGACUCGGUGAAAUAGACUUGUCUGUGAAGAUGCGGACUACCUGCACCUGGACAGAAAGACCCUAUGAAGCUUUACUGUAACUUGAAAUUGAAAUUGGACUUUAUUUGCGCAGUAUAGGUGGGAGGCGUUGAGAAUAUUCUUGCGGGAAUAUUGGAGCCAUCAGUGAGAUACCACUCUUGUAAUGUUAGAUUUCUAACUUUGCAUCAUUAUCUGGUCAAAGAACAGUUUCAGGCGGGCAGUUUGACUGGGGCGGUCGCCUCCCAAACGGUAACGGAGGCGUACAAAGGUUUCCUCUGAACGGGUAGAAAUCGUAUCUAGAGUGUAAAGGCAUAAGGAAGCUUGACUGUGAGACCUACAAGUCGAGCAGGGACGAAAGUCGGUCUUAGUGAUCUGACGGUGCUGAGUGGAAAGGCCGUCACUCAACGGAUAAAAGUUACUCUAGGAUAACAGGCUGAUCUCCCCCAAGAGUUCACAUCGACGGGGAGGUUUGGCACCUCGAUGUCGGCUCAUCGCAUCCUGGGGCGGUAGUACGUCCCAAGGGUUGGGCUGUUCGCCCAUGAAAGCGGUACGCGAGCUGGGUUCAAAACGUCGUGAGACAGUUCGGUCCAUAUCCGGUGUAGGCGUUAGAAUAUUGAGAGGAGCCUUCUUUAGUACGAGAGGACCGAGAAGGACAUACCUCUGGUGUACCAGUUAUCGUGCCAACGGUAAACGCUGGGUAGCUAUGUAUGGAGAGGAUAACCGCUGAAAGCAUCUAAGUGGGAAGCCCACCUCAAGAUAAGUAUUCUCAC